UAAGAAGACUGGAGUACACUGCCAUUUCCUUCUCCUGACCCAGGGAUCGAACCCAGGGUUCCUACAUUGCAGACACAAUAAAGCUUGAAGAUUAAGACCACCAAGCAUCUGUGGCUCAAGAGGUACAAUAAGUAGAGACUCAAGUUAAAGGCUUGUGAAAAAAUGCCAUUGCCUAAAAAGGAUAUGGUAAAUUCAGAGGGAAGAGAUGUAAGUGCUAAUGGAUGCCUCCAGAAGAAUGAGGGCAAAGAGCAACAGUCCAGGAGAAAAACCCAAGACUUCACAAGAAAGUAAUUAUGUUGCAGAUAGAAUAGGACCAGAAUCUAUUUUUAAAAAAUGAAAAACCCAAGGAACAGGAAAAAUGGGUCUAAAACCAGGGACAAUCAACAGCUGACUGAAUGUAUUGAGAAAAAGGUGAGAAUGAGGAGGUUGGACAAAUGAAUGGAAAAUCACCCAAACACAAACCUGAAAUAUGGUCCUUCUCCUUAAUGAUCCUUGUCUCCAGCCAGAGGAAGAAAGGACGUUCAGAAGAAAUUGACAGACCACGUUCUUCCAGAUGACAAAAGGGAGGCUAAACAUAGAAAGAGCUCCACUUUGGACUGAAGAGUAGAAGCAAGGUGAGUGAACCAAGAUUCAAAAUUGAAAGGGUCAGAAGCGAGGGAAGAGGCUGUGGCAGGAAGCAGAGAUAAAUCUCUGCCAUUACCAACACAACGAGAAUGGGAUUUAACGUUCCGAACUUGGGUGGGGUGAACUGAAUAAAGGCAGCUCUCUCCGUGGAGGCCCCUUGGCUUUCUCACUCCCAGAGUCUUCAGUUCUGCACCCAAGCUUUCAAGAUGGGCUGAGCUGUGGUGGGUGGAGUAGAGGUUAAGGAGAUACCAUUGAGGUGGAGGGAAACAGUAGGAGCAAGGUAGCUGGCAGCCCAGAGAUCAAUUUUGAAGGAAAGAAAUUCUCUCUCCUGCAUGUCUUAAGAGAAAGAAUCUAAGGUUACUCAAUGCAGCAAGCUGUUUAAAUCCAGACUUAUAGCCAACAAUCCUUUAAUAACUAGUUACUGAUCACCUACCACAUUCAGCGCACCAGCAG
ensembl:lncRNA